rnacentral:rRNA from 1 species
GAUGACCUGUGGCUGGGGGUGAAAGGCCAAUCAAACCGGGAGAUAGCUGGUUCUCCCCGAAAGCUAUUUAGGUAGCGCCUCGUGAACUCAUCUUCGGGGGUAGAGCACUGUUUCGGCUAGGGGGCCAUCCCGGCUUACCAACCCGAUGCAAACUACGAAUACCGAAGAAUGUUAUCACGGGAGACACACGGCGGGUGCUAACGUCCGUCGUGAAGAGGGAAACAACCCAGACCGCCAGCUAAGGUCCCAAAGUCAUGGUUAAGUGGGAAACGAUGUGGGAAGGCACAGACAGCCAGGAUGUUGGCUUAGAAGCAGCCAUCAUUUAAAGAAAGCGUAAUAGCUCACUGGUCGAGUCGGCCUGCGCGGAAGAUGUAACGGGGCUAAACCAUGCACCGAAGCUGCGGCAGCGACACUAUGUGUUGUUGGGUAGGGGAGCGUUCUGUAAGCCGUUGAAGGUGUGCUGUGAGGCAUGCUGGAGGUAUCAGAAGUGCGAAUGCUGACAUAAGUAACGAUAAAGCGGGUGAAAAGCCCGCUCGCCGGAAGACCAAGGGUUCCUGUCCAACGUUAAUCGGGGCAGGGUGAGUCGACCCCUAAGGCGAGGCCGAAA